AGAUUUCUUCGGGGCAGGGUGAAAUUCCCGACCGACGGUGAUAACGUUUUUACGUUUAAGUCCGUGACCCGCGUUUGCGGUGGAUGCAGUGUGAAUCUGCAACCGACAGUUAAAGUCUGGAUGGGAGAAGAAAAAA
rnacentral:ncRNA from 2 species